GCGGGAGUAGCUCAGUUGGUAGAGCACUAGCCUUCCAAGCUUGUGGUCGCGGGUUCGAAUCCCGUCUCCCGCUCCA
rnacentral:tRNA from 3 species